rnacentral:rRNA from 1 species
GGGUUGUGAGGUUAAGCGACUAAGCGUACACGGUGGAUGCCCUGGCAGUCAGAGGCGAUGAAGGACGUGCUAAUCUGCGAUAAGCGUCGGUGAGGUGAUAUGAACCGUUAUAACCGGCGAUUUCCGAAUGGGGAAACCCAGUGUGUUUCGACACACUAUCAUUAACUGAAUCCAUAGGUUAAUGAGGCGAACCGGGGGAACUGAAACAUCUAAGUACCCCGAGGAAAAGAAAUCAACCGAGAUUCCCCCAGUAGCGGCGAGCGAACGGGGAGGAGCCCAGAGCCUGAAUCAGUGUGUGUGUUAGUGGAAGCGUCUGGAAAGGCGUGCGAUACAGGGUGACAGCCCCGUACACAAAAAUGCACAUAUUGUGAGCUCGAUGAGUAGGGCGGGACACGUGGUAUCCUGUCUGAAUAUGGGGGGACCAUCCUCCAAGGCUAAAUACUCCUGACUGACCGAUAGUGAACCAGUACCGUGAGGGAAAGGCGAAAAGAACCCCGGCGAGGGGAGUGAAAAAGAACCUGAAACCGUGUACGUACAAGCAGUGGGAGCCUCUUAAUGGGGUGACUGCGUACCUUUUGUAUAAUGGGUCAGCGACUUAUAUUCUGUAGCAAGGUUAACCGAAUAGGGGAGCCGAAGGGAAACCGAGUCUUAACUGGGCGUUAAGUUGCAGGGUAUAGACCCGAAACCCGGUGAUCUAGCCAUGGGCAGGUUGAAGGUUGGGUAACACUAACUGGAGGACCGAACCGACUAAUGUUGAAAAAUUAGCGGAUGACUUGUGGCUGGGGGUGAAAGGCCAAUCAAACCGGGAGAUAGCUGGUUCUCCCCGAAAGCUAUUUAGGUAGCGCCUCGUGAAUUCAUCUCCGGGGGUAGAGCACUGUUUCGGCAAGGGGGUCAUCCCGACUUACCAACCCGAUGCAAACUGCGAAUACCGGAGAAUGUUAUCACGGGAGACACACGGCGGGUGCUAACGUCCGUCGUGAAGAGGGAAACAACCCAGACCGCCAGCUAAGGUCCCAAAGUCAUGGUUAAGUGGGAAACGAUGUGGGAAGGCCCAGACAGCCAGGAUGUUGGCUUAGAAGCAGCCAUCAUUUAAAGAAAGCGUAAUAGCUCACUGGUCGAGUCGGCCUGCGCGGAAGAUGUAACGGGGCUAAACCAUGCACCGAAGCUGCGGCAGCGACACUAUGUGUUGUUGGGUAGGGGAGCGUUCUGUAAGCCUGUGAAGGUGGCCUGUGAGGGUUGCUGGAGGUAUCAGAAGUGCGAAUGCUGACAUAAGUAACGAUAAAGCGGGUGAAAAGCCCGCUCGCCGGAAGACCAAGGGUUCCUGUCCAACGUUAAUCGGGGCAGGGUGAGUCGACCCCUAAGGCGAGGCCGAAAGGCGUAGUCGAUGGGAAACAGGUUAAUAUUCCUGUACUUGGUGUUACUGCGAAGGGGGGACGGAGAAGGCUAUGUUGGCCGGGCGACGGUUGUCCCGGUUUAAGCGUGUAGGCUGGU